rnacentral:rRNA from 1 species
UGGGGAAUUUUGGACAAUGGGGGCAACCCUGAUCCAGCCAUUCCGCGUGAGUGAAGAAGGCCUUCGGGUUGUAAAGCUCUUUCGGCAGGAACGAAACGGCGAGCUCUAACAUAGCUUGCUAAUGACGGUACCUGAAGAAGAAGCACCGGCUAACUACGUGCCAGCAGCCGCGGUAAUACGUAGGGUGCGAGCGUUAAUCGGAAUUACUGGGCGUAAAGCGUGCGCAGGCGGUUGUGUAAGACAGAUGUGAAAUCCCCGGGCUCAACCUGGGACCUGCAUUUGUGACUGCAUCGCUAGAGUACGGCAGAGGGGGAUGGAAUUCCGCGUGUAGCAGUGAAAUGCGUAGAUAUGCGGAGGAACACCGAUGGCGAAGGCAAUCCCCUGGACCUGUACUGACGCUCAUGCACGAAAGCGUGGGGAGCAAACA